UACGUAGGGUGCGAGCGUUGUCCGGAAUUAUUGGGCGUAAAGGGCUCGUAGGCGGUCUGUUGCGUCGGGAGUGAAAACUCAGGGCUUAACCCUGAGCCUGCUUCCGAUACGGGCAGACUAGAGGUAUGCAGGGGAGAACGGAAUUCCUGGUGUAGCGGUGAAAUGCGCAGAUAUCAGGAGGAACACCGGUGGCGAAGGCGGGUCUCUGGACAGUUCCUGACGCUGAGGCACGAAGGUCAGGGGAGCAAACGGG
rnacentral:rRNA from 1 species